AGUGCAACACACGUAUCAUAAUCUAUAAUAAGACAUUAUUUAAUCUUAUUUAUCAGUUCUUUGUCAUGUCAUUUAAAUGUGUCUCAUGCACAUGAUGAGAGUGCGCGUGUAACACGAUUCGAAAACAUGUCUUCACAUAUAAUUCACAAUCACAUAAAUGUACUAUCAUUAGGUACAAAAAUAUUAAAAAACAACUGAGAAACAAUAUCUACUAUUUGUUCUUUGAUGAUUAUUCCGUUUGUUUCUACAUAUAAUUUUUUUUAGAGAUUUUAUUAACAAAUUACAUAUGAAUGUAAAAAUUUGGUAGUAGAAAAGGUCACAACGACGUAGAACUCAGCACACAGUCGGACACAUGCCCCGAUCAGGAAAAGAAACUGAACAACUCGGUUUGCUCCACUCGCUCACUCCACAUGUGGAUAAGCUCCACUCUCCCUCAUAGAACACGACUGCCCCUCUUCCACUGCAUCCCCACCGGCGGCGAGACGAACACCCACCCGUGGCCGGUCCAUGGCGGCCGCCCUUCCUUAGCCGCCGCGCCAGUCGCUGGCCUAUGCCCCCCCUCUUGCCGUUCGCCUACACCAGCCUCACAAUCUCACCCACUCCCCCCUUCCCACACCCGAUCCACAUCCCGAUCCAGGAGAUCCCCGGCCACCCAACGCCGUCGCUCUCUGGUGGCCGCCCCUCCCUUUCGUCUCCAUUGCCGGCGGAUGCCCCUCCCCUUCGCCAUCACCGCCGGCGGACGCCCCGCCCCUGCUCUGCCCCGCACCGCCCCACCUUCAUAUCCGCUGACGCCGGCAUGCUCGCUGGCGAUGUCGGGCAAUCCCCCCCCCUCCGGACAUGGGGGCGCUCGAGCUCGGCAUGCUCGCCGGUGACGCCAGUGUCCUCCCUCCUCGACGCCGUCGCUCUCUAGUGGACGGCCCUCCCCUUCGUCACCACUGCCGGCGGACGCCACUCGCCGCCAUGAGCCUAUCCACCUUCUCUCGUGCGACACGAACUUCCAUCCCCGUGCUCGGGACGCCAUUAAGGUCCGGUUGCAGCUCUUCUUCUCCCCUCGAUCCGGAUGCUCUGCUCUCCAACCCGAUCUAUUCCAAGCGAAAGAUUUUUUUUCAUCCUCUCAUGCCCAUUGCCUCUAGCAAAUGUCAUCUCCCAGCUCAUGGCCUCGCCCCCAUGUUUUUUUCUUACUGCACUAAGCUGCAAAAGGACACAAAAGCUUUUCUAUCGGUUAAUUUAAUUGGUCACAAACUCACAAUACUCCAUACACAAUCAGUGAUAAUAAGAUUGCCCCUUUCGUGUUUUCUGCGGAAAGUAGCCUCCAUGCUUCUCAAAUCUGGGUGAUGUUUUGUUCAUAGACUUUCAUCCAAAGAGAAGCACAUCGAUGGAGAAAAAAGACGUAGUCAAAGGGAAUUUGUUUCAGAGCAGAUCGAGAUGCGAGCUGGUGGACACGAUGAGGGAGCAAGCAUCUUGAAUUGGACAGUCGAUCUGUUCUAGGGAGGAGUUCACAGCUUGCCUAUUUCCUCCAUUGCUGCAGAAAGACAACCAGAUCAGUCAAAGCAAUAGAUGGAUCUGAACGCAGAGAGAAGGCAACACCUUAUACGGCGUAUAGCUUGUCGUUGCGGCCUUGGACGGGUGCCUCGGCGGCUGCAGCUGUAUUGGUGAAGACCUCGUCGUCGCGGCCGUUGGAGGAUGCGUCGACGUUUGCAGCUCUGUUGGUGGAGAGGUCGUCGUAGCGGCUGUUGGUUGAUGCGUCGACGGCUGCGUCUCGACGGCGACGACGACGCACGAACUGCUGGACGUGAAUUAUUUGUUGCUGUUUGUUUCCCUUACUUGCUGUUUGUUUCCGUAAUAAGUUGCUGGACGUGACGUGAAUUCUGCUUCUUUCUGUUUUAUGAUUUCCCUUAUUUCCUGUUUGUUUCCGUAAUAAGUUGCUAGACGUGACGUGAAUUCAGCUACUUUCUGUUAUAUAUGAUUUCCCUUA